UACGUAGGGUGCAAGCGUUAAUCGGAAUUACUGGGCGUAAAGCGUGCGCAGGCGGUUAUGCAAGACAGAUGUGAAAUCCCCGGGCUCAACCUGGGAACUGCAUUUGUGACUGCAUGGCUAGAGUACGGUAGAGGGGGAUGGAAUUCACGGUGUAGCAGUGAAAUGCGUAGAUAUCGUGAGGAACACCAGAGGCGAAGGCGGUUACCUGGACAGUUACUGACGCUCAGGCACGAAAGCGUGGGGAGCAAAAGGG
rnacentral:rRNA from 1 species